rnacentral:rRNA from 1 species
UACGGAGGGGGCGAGCGUUAUUCGGAAUUAUUGGGCGUAAAGGGCGCGUAGGCGGCCUGAUAAGUCAAAGGUGAAAUCCCUCGGCUCAACUGAGGAAUUGCCUUUGAAACUGUCAGGCUUGAGGCCGGGAGGGGGUGGCGGAAUUCCCAGUGUAGCGGUGAAAUGCGUAGAGAUUAGGAAGAACACCAGUGGCGAAGGCGGCUUUCUGGACUGUAACUGACGCUGAGGCAUGAAAGCGUGGGGAGCAAACAGG